GCAACUGAAUGAAGAAAAAAAAAAGAAAAAAAAAGAAAAAAACAUGUUACAACAUCACAAACUAGAUAUUAGUAAUUAGUAAUACUUUAAACUUAUUUUGAGGGAAGAUGUUGUUCGUUGAAUCUCACCUCCCAAUGUAAAAAACGAAAAAAGAAAAAAGAAAAACAAUAAAAUACUGGUGGAAAGAGAAAUUACUGUUGCUAAUAUCCAACUAUAUUUUCAUUCCUUAUUGUGGACGAAGAAAUAUGUCAACAUGCAUGGCGCUUUUUUGGAUCCCGCUCUGAUUCUCCAGACUCCCAAACUCCAGACUCCAAUUAUGCUUUCAAAGAUAUUUUUCCAAAAU
rnacentral:lncRNA from 1 species